AUAAGAGACAGGUGAAUCAUCGAAUCUUUGAACGCACAUUGCGCCCUUUGGUCUUCCAUGGGGCAUGCCUGUUCGAGCGUCAUUCAACCCUUCAAGCCCCGCUUGGUGUUGGGCGCUUGUCCCGCCCGCGUGCGUGGACUCGCCUUAAAACUAUCGGCGUCGACGUGCCGGCCUUGAGCACAGCAGAAUAGUCGCUCUGGGGUCAGGCGCUGCGGCUUGCCGUAAAACGAACCACCUAAUUCUUGACCUCGGAUCAGGUAGGGAUACCCGCUGAACUUAAGCAUAUCAAUAAGCGGAGGA
rnacentral:misc_RNA from 1 species